UAUGCCUACGGGAGGCAGCAGUAGGGAAUUUUCGUCAAUGGGCGCAAGCCUGAACGAGCAAUGCCGCGUGAACGAGGAAGGUCUUCGGAUCGUAAAGUUCUGUUGAAGGGGAAAAAGAGCGGAGAGAGGAAAUGGUCUCCGAUUGAUAUUACCCUUCGAGGAAGUCACGGCUAACUACGUGCCAGCAGCCGCGGUAAUACGGAGGAUGCUCGCGUUAUCCGGCUUUAUUGGGUUUAAAGGGUGCGCAGGCGGCACGGCAAGCCGGCGGUC
rnacentral:rRNA from 1 species